AACGAACGCUGGCGGCAGGCUUAACACAUGCAAGUCGAACGCCCGCAAGGGGAGUGGCAGACGGGUGAGUAACGCGUGGGAAUCUACCCAGUUCUACGGAACAACAGUUGGAACGACUGCUAAUACCGUAUACGCCCUAAGGGGAAAGAUUUAUCGGAAUUGGAUGAGCCCGCGUUGGAUUAGCUAGUUGGUGGGGUAAUGGCCUACCAAGGCGACGAUCCAUAGCUGGUCUGAGAGGAUGAUCAGCCACACUGGGACUGAGACACGGCCCAGACUCCUACGGGAGGCAGCAGUGGGGAAUAUUGGACAAUGGGCGCAAGCCUGAUCCAGCCAUGCCGCGUGAGUGAUGAAGGCCUUAGGGUUGUAAAGCUCUUUCAGUAGGGAAGAUAAUGACGGUACCUACAGAAGAAGCCCCGGGCUAACUUUCGUGCCAGCAGCCGCGGUAAUACGAAGGGGGCUAGCGUUGUUCGGAUUACUGGGCGU
rnacentral:rRNA from 1 species